rnacentral:rRNA from 1 species
UACGAAGGGGGCUAGCGUUGUUCGGAAUUACUGGGCGUAAAGGGCGCGUAGGCGGUACUUCAAGUCAGGCGUGAAAGCCCCGGGCUCAACCUGGGAACCGCGCUUGAGACUGGAGAACUAGAGUUCGGGAGAGGAUGGUGGAAUUCCCAGUGUAGAGGUGAAAUUCGUAGAUAUUGGGAAGAACACCGAUGGCGAAGGCAGCCAUCUGGACCGACACUGACGCUGAGGCGCGAAAGCGUGGGGAGCGAACCGG